GAGUUUGAUCGUGGCUCAGAUUGAACGCUGGCGGCACGCCUAACACAUGCAAGUCGAGCGGCAGCGAGAGUAGUAGCAAUACUACUUGUCGGCGAGCGGCGGACGGGUGAGGAACACGUAGGAAUCUACCCAGAAGAGGGGGAUAACCAAGGGAAACUUUGGCUAAUACCGCAUAAUCUCGAGAGAGAAAAGCUGCCCGCAAGGGUGGGGCGCUUUUGGAGGAGCCUGCGUCCGAUUAGCUAGUUGGUAGGGUAAAGGCCUACCAAGGCGAUGAUCGGUAACUGGUCUGAGAGGACGACCAGUCACACUGGGACUGAGACACGGCCCAGACUCCUACGGGAGGCAGCAGUGGGGAAUAUUGGACAAUGGGGGAAACCCUGAUCCAGCGAUGCCGCGUGAGUGAAGAAGGCCUUCGGUCGUAAAG
rnacentral:rRNA from 1 species